UUCUGGCUCAGGAUGAACGCUAGCGACAGGCCUAACACAUGCAAGUCGAGGGGCAGCACAAGGAGCAAUCUGAGGUGGCGACCGGCGCACGGGUGAGUAACACGUAUGCAACCUGCCUGUAAGCGGGGAAUAACCCGUUGAAAGACGGACUAAUACCGCAUAAUACUAAAUUACUGCAUGGUAAUUUAUUUAAACAUUUAUGGCUUACAGAUGGGCAUGCGCAUGAUUAGCUAGUUGGAGAGGUAACGGCUCCCCAAGGCAACGAUCAUUAGGGGUUCUGAGAGGAAGGUCCCCCACACUGGUACUGAGACACGGACCAGACUCCUACGGGAGGCAGCGGUGAGGAAUAUUGGUCAAUGGACGAGAGUCUGAACCAGCCAAGUCGCGUGCAGGAAGAAUGUCCUAUGGAUUGUAAACUGCUUUUGCAGGGGAAUAAAGUGCAUCACGUGUGACGUUUUGUAUGUACUCUGCGGAUAAGGAUCGGCUAACUCCGUGCCAGCCGCGGC
rnacentral:rRNA from 1 species